UGAAGACCAUCCAAUGUAGGGAUCGAAUUAAGCAGAUCUCAUUUUGGCUUGGUUAAUGCUUCAUUAUAUAAUGAUGACAUUAUCAAGAAUGGGGACCAUUCAGGUUGCAGAGGAGACUUCUAAGAAUAGUGUGGAUGAAGUUUCCUUCAACAUCAUGAAAAAAAGAAACCUAAUAGGAAUUGGUGGAAACAAUUAAUUGGUUGAAAAUGCAAUGUUGAUGGAUGUUGCCCCUCAAAGAUGUGAAAAUGAGCAGCCACAGCCAGACAGGAAUUGGUGGAAGAACCUGGCAAGACGGGAUGUUUUUGCGAACAUGUGUAAUUUGCUGGAAAACAAAUCUGAUAUGCCAUGUGUACCUUGAGAUUUUAACCAGUUAGAGAAAAUUUGAUUAGCAUUCAUUUGAGGACGUGUCCCAUCCUUCAAUGAAAAUUAGGGGAGAAGCUGUGUGAGAAAACAUUAACAUUGUUACCUAUGGGAAAUGAAUUAGUGGACUGUACCCAGACUAAUGGAUAUGUUGACCCUCUAAGAUGUGAAAAUGAGCUUCUACACCAGACAGGAAUUUGUGAAAAAACCUGGAAAAGGCAAGACUGAUGGAUGUUGACCCUCAAGAUGUGGAAAUGAACAGCCACAGUCAGACAGGAAUUGGUGGAAGCCCUUCUUAACAACAAGACUUAUCCCUGUGAAGAACUGUCACUGAUCAGUGUGCUUUGAUGACAGUACCCAGUAGGAGACUCAGAUAAAGUCUUGUGGAUGUGCUUGACAUGAAUGACAAGGAGCCAUCAGAAAAUAAAAGUAUUGAAGAGGCAAAUCCUUGUGAUCGCAUGUGGAGAAAGACAAAGAUAGAUGACAGAUGUAGAAAGCCAGAUUUUUUGCAUACACAAGCACAUCCAGUUUACAAUGUUAUAAUCCAAAACAAUUUUUUUUGAAACAUUUGUUUUGGAAAUGGGUGUCUGAGUUGUAAGAGGGUAUGGGGUCGCCCACUCAGACACGUGGGUUUUCUCCGGGGGCUCCGGUUUCCUCCCACACUGACCCCAUUCUUUUUCUCUGUGCCAAUGUUAAUAUCUUUAUCUAUUGUUUUGCUCUAAUGUUAUUUUACGUAGUUUGUUAUAUUUUAUAUUAUAAAAUGUUUAGAUGAAGUAGUUGAAAGCUAGUUGUAAGUAGACCUUGUCGAUACCCUGGGGCAUUACUGGUUGGAACUUCGUGGAUCCUUGGCCGCUACGGUUGCCAGGCUGGCCUGGGGAGGAGGGGUUGAAAACGCAACUAGUUGUAGGCUGCUUUGUCUUUAAUAAUCUGUUUUCAUUUUAUCUAAAAUCAAAAAAUCAUAUAUGUUGGAGAUAUAAUGAUUGUUAAAUAUUAAAUUAGUAUUCCUGGAAUGUACAAAUUCUGUCAGCUACUGUACCAGUAAUAAUUUGUAUAGUCAAUUCUGAUUAUUAGCUUAUUGUGAAAUUGAAUGCAUUAUAUACUGACUAAAUCUUCAGUAAAAGUAAUUGAUUAUAAAUUUUGAUGUGAAAUUAUGAUUUGUAUUUAAUAAUGUAAAGUAAUGGGAUUUGAGCAUGUUAAAUUGUGAUCUGUUAAUGUCAAAUUGUGAUUUUUGAAUGUCAAAUUGUACGUGAUUUGUUUAUGUGAAAUAGUGAUUUGUGAAUGUUUGUGAAUUUAAUGUCUGAUUUCAUUGUGCAAAAGAAGAAAACAAAACAAACAAAAAAAAGCCAGGAAAAAAAACAAGA